rnacentral:rRNA from 1 species
UGGGGAAUCUUGCACAAUGGGCGGAAGCCUGAUGCAGCGACGCCGCGUGCGGGACGAAGGCCUUCGGGUCGUAAACCGCUUUCAGCAGGGACGAGGCCGCGAGGUGACGGUACCUGCAGAAGAAGCCCCGGCUAACUACGUGCCAGCAGCCGCGGUAAUACGUAGGGGGCGAGCGUUAUCCGGAUUCAUUGGGCGUAAAGCGCGCGUAGGCGGCCCGCUUGGUCGGGAGUAAAAUCCGGGGGCUCAACCCCCGCACGCUCCCGAUACCGGCGGGCUUGAGUCUGGCAGGGGAAGGCGGAAUUCCGAGUGUAGCGGUGGAAUGCGCAGAUAUUCGGAAGAACACCGGUGGCGAAGGCGGCCUUCUGGGCCACGACUGACGCUGAGGCGCGAAAGCUAGGGGAGCGAACAGG